rnacentral:rRNA from 1 species
CAGUCGCCACGGGAAUACGUAGGGUGCAAGCGUUAAUCGGAAUUACUGGGCGUAAAGCGUGCGCAGGCGGUUCGGAAAGAAAGGUGUGAAAUCCCAGGGCUUAACCUUGGAACUGCACUUUUAACUACCGGGCUAGAGUGUGUCAGAGGGGGGUGGAAUUCCGCGUGUAGCAGUGAAAUGCGUAGAGAUGCGGAGGAACACCGAUGGCGAAGGCAGCCCCCUGGGAUAACACUGACGCUCAUGCACGAAAGCGUGGGGAGCAAACAGGAUUAGAUACCCGCGUAGUCCCUGUCUCUUAUAC